UACGUAGGGUGCGAGCGUUAAUCGGAAUUACUGGGCGUAAAGCGUGCGCAGGCGGUGAGCUGUGUCCGAUGUGAAAGCCCCGGGCUUAACCUGGGAACUGCAUUUGUGACUGCAAGGCUAGAGUACGGUAGAGGGGGAUGGAAUUCCGCGUGUAGCAGUGAAAUGCGUAGAUAUGCGGAGGAACACCGAUGGCGAAGGCAAUCCCCUGGACCUGUACUGACGCUCAUGCACGAAAGCGUGGGGAGCAAACAGG
rnacentral:rRNA from 1 species